UUCAACUUUCUUCCUAUCACACUUUUCAACAUUGUCCAACACUUCUCUCUCAUAACCCAUCUGAAACUACUCAUUUUUUCUCUGCACAACAACAUGUUCAUCUUCAUCGAAAACCCGGGACAAGGAAAUUGUUCUAUUAUUUAAAAGGAGAACCAGUUGAUUAUGGUGAAGAACAUAGUAAGGAGUGUGGGCACUCGCAGUUUGGAAGAAUCUAUGAACAAGAAUAUAUAAAGCUGUUUACAAAUGUAUUCAAAGCAGAUCCAGCCGUUCAUUCAGAAACGAUUGAUUGUCAUAGGACUCUGCUCACCUACUGAUUCACACUACUCUUUCUGCAGGUCAAGCAAAUUGGUCAAAUUUGAGUGUAUUAUUAAAGACAAUGAAAAGAUGGUUCUGCUGCAAUGUCUCUAGCAAAUCUGUCAUAAGGACCUCAAAAUAAAGGUCUGCAUAUUCCCAAGACAUGAAUAGAAAUCAUGGAGAA